UUUCUCAUGAAGAAGAAAAAAGUUAAAAUUUGGAUCCAGUGUGAUUGAAGAUGUAUGAGCUUCAGGGUAAGUAGUUUGCUUGGAAACAAAUAAGAGCUAGGACAAGAGAAAGAAUUUGCUUCCGAAAAGUUUUGAUUUUUAUUGAAGAUGUAUGAACACUGUACAACAUUUUGAACCAAAGAAUCUCACUAUAUGCCCUUAUUACAAUCUGAACCAAAGAAUCUAUAUACAGAAAGAAUGACUUAAAAAGGGCAAAAAGAAGAAGCUGUUGUGUGUCUUAGAAAGGGGAAAAUUGGUGAACAAAAGGGACUUUGACAGGUUUCUUCAGGUCACGACGGCUCAAUGUACAAAGACAUUCACACGGUUUCGUCUUGGUACAGCCGAUACAGAACCUGUGGAAAAGAAAUGAAAAGGCCCCUAUCAAAAGAUAUGUUUUUGGAACGGAGGAGAGAAAGGAUCAAUGAAGAACCGAUCCGGAAACAAAGAUAAAAGACAUCAAAAAGGCUAGAGAGGUUUGAAUAGAGAUAAACCAUUGGAAAGAGUACUCAUUGACACUAAACCUGACUGGAGAAAGAAGUCAUAAAACCCUUUGAGUAUAGGCAGAUGGAUAGAGAGAGAGAGAGAGAGAGAGAGAGAGAGAGACACUAUAUAUCUAUUCCCUGAGGAUAUAGCUUAAGGUGAUACCUGAGCUAGAUGAUCUAAAACUGGACUAACACACACUAUAUAUCUAUUCUCAACAUGUUCAACCAACAUCAAAUAACAUAAAAAGCAAAGUAA